rnacentral:rRNA from 1 species
UGGGGAAUAUUGCACAAUGGGCGAAAGCCUGAUGCAGCGACGCCGCGUGGGGGAUGACGGCCUUCGGGUUGUAAACCUCUUUUACCACCAACGCAGGCUCCACGUUCUCGUGGGGUUGACGGUAGGUGGGGAAUAAGGACCGGCUAACUACGUGCCAGCAGCCGCGGUAAUACGUAGGGUCCGAGCGUUGUCCGGAAUUAUUGGGCGUAAAGAGCUCGUAGGCGGCGUGUCACGUCUGCUGUGAAAGACCGGGGCUUAACUCCGGUUCUGCAGUGGAUACGGGCAUGCUAGAGGUAGGUAGGGGAGACUGGAAUUCCUGGUGUAGCGGUGAAAUGCGCAGAUAUCAGGAGGAACACCGGUGGCGAAGGCGGGUCUCUGGGCCUUACCUGACGCUGAGGAGCGAAAGCAUGGGGAGCGAACAGG